rnacentral:rRNA from 1 species
UACGUAGGGUGCAAGCGUUGUCCGGAAUUAUUGGGCGUAAAGAGCUUGUAGGCGGUUUGUCGCGUCUGCUGUGAAAUUUCGGGGCUCAACCCCGAACUUGCAGUGGGUACGGGCAGACUAGAGUGUGGUAGGGGAGACUGGAAUUCCUGGUGUAGCGGUGAAAUGCGCAGAUAUCAGGAGGAACACCGAUGGCGAAGGCAGGUCUCUGGGCCGAUACUGACACUGAGGAGCGAAAGCGUGGGGAGCGAACAGG